rnacentral:rRNA from 1 species
GACGAACGCUGGCGGCGUGCCUAAUACAUGCAAGUGGGACGCAAGGAAACACACUGUGCUUGCACACCGUGUUUUCUUGAGUCGCGAACGGGUGAGUAACGCGUAGGUAACCUGCCUAUUAGCGGGGGAUAACUAUUGGAAACGAUAGCUAAUACCGCAUAAUAUUAAUUAUUGCAUGAUAAUUGAUUGAAAGAUGCAAGCGCAUCACUAGUAGAUGGACCUGCGUUGUAUUAGCUAGUUGGUAAGGUAAGAGCUUACCAAGGCGACGAUACAUAGCCGAACUGAGAGGGUGAUCGGCCACACUGGGACUGAGACACGGCCCAGACUCCUACGGGAGGCAGCAGUAGGGAAUCUUCGGCAAUGGACGAAAGUCUGACCGAGCAACGCCGCGUGAGUGAAGAAGGUUUUCGGAUCGUAAAGCUCUGUUGUAAGUCAAGAACGUGUGUGAGAGUGGAAAGUUCACACAGUGACGGUAGCUUACCAGAAAGGGACGGCUAACUACGU